AGUUUGUUGGCUGUGCUGAGAAGGAGUCAGUGCUGUGAGGAGCUGCCUGUGAGAUAUCACCAAGAAGGCCCUGCAGCUUACCUAUGAAUGCUGGACCUGGAGCAGCCUGCUGUGGGGCUGGUCCCCAGCCUAGCCAUCCCUGGGACAGCUGUGUCUCAUCCCAGCAAUAAAAACAUCAGCUAAACACUGCAGGUAUGGAGUGACAGAGCUGCUUUGAGCAUAGGCACACAGGCUGCCUUGAACACAACACAGAAGAGCUCCUGUGGUGCCUCUUUGAAUGCUUUAACAUUAGAUCCAUGCCACUGUUUUCCUUACAAACACCUGAUGCUAC